rnacentral:rRNA from 1 species
AUUGAACGCUGGCGGCAGGCCUAACACAUGCAAGUCGAACGAGCGGCGGACGGGUGAGUAAUGUCUGGGGAUCUGCCCGAUGGCGGGGGAUAACUACUGGAAACGGUAGCUAAUACCGCAUACCAUCAUAUGAUCCCAGAUGGGAUUAGCUAGUAGGUGGGGUAACGGCUGACCUAGGCGACGAUCCCUAGCUGGUCUGAGAGGAUGACCAGCCACACUGGGACUGAGACACGGUCCAGACGCCGACGGGAGGCAGCAGUGGGGAAUAUUGCAAAAUGGGCGCAAGCCUGAUGCAGCCAUGCCGCGUGUAUGAAGAAGGCCUUCGGGUUGUAAAGUACUUUCAGGCGGGAGGCGUUACCGGAAGAAGAAGCAACGGCUAACUCCGUGCCAGCAGCCGCGGUAAUUG